UGUCCAACUACCUGACUGUUCACAUGUAUACGUGUGCAUGUAUGUGCUUAUAUAUAAAAAUUCCACUCAGUAUUUCUCAAUUUUGCUCGGUUUCUGAGAGGCAAGGAAGGACAUUUUGGGCAUCUCUCUUUGUUCGGAGGAGGGCGGCCGCAAGAGCCGAUGCCUCUGCGCGAACAACAUCCCUGACUUUGCCAUGCCGCCGUUCCCAAGAGCUGUUUGCAGUGUCUUUUGAUAAUCCUGGGAGAAGCCAGUUGUCCUACAGAAGCCUGCAGAGGAGCUGUGCAAGCAUCUCCAUUUGCAGGGGACCCAAUCCUAACCUCCUUAGUCAGGCAAAACUCCCACUGACUUCGAUUAUGGAAGCAGGAUCUCACUGUGAUCUUUACUAUUUGGAGGCUGCUGUAAUGCCCCCCCAUGAUGUCAUCAUACAGGCAAACCAUGCAUGGUGUUUUUGCUUGUGAAGACUGCAGUAUUGAGCCUAUGGCAGUACUGAAGAGGAGAGAAAAAUGAAAAGAUUUGUCAGUACAAUUUCAAGACAUACAGCAAUAUGAAUUUUUAAGUAACAUUUGAUCUUAUAAAAACACUUUAUCAUCUUUCCAUCAGACGUACAUCCUCACAGCUAUAUAAAAAUCUGUAGUAAAAUUAUUGUAAGUAGUUUCUUUGAUUAAGAACUCAACAUUUGUGGUUUAGAAUAGCUUUAUAAUUUGC
rnacentral:lncRNA from 1 species